rnacentral:rRNA from 1 species
UACGGAGGAUGCGAGCGUUAUCAGGAUUUAUUGGGUUUAAAGGGUGCGUAGGCGGUAUGGUAAGUCAGCGGUAAAAGCCCGGGGCUCAACCCCGGCCUGCCGUUGAAACUGGCGGCCUCGAGUGGGCGAGAAGUAUGCGGAAUGCGUGGUGUAGCGGUGAAAUGCAUAGAUAUCACACAGAACACCGAUUGCGAAGGCAUCUGACGAAUCGGAGAUUGACGCUGAUGCACGAAAGCGUGGGUAUCGAACAGG